rnacentral:rRNA from 2 species
GAGCGGCGAACGGGUGAGUAACACGUGAGUAACCUGCCCUUGGCUCUGGGAUAAGCCCGGGAAACUGGGUCUAAUACCGGAUAUGACCACCUUCUGCAUGGAGGGUGGUGGAAAGUUUUUCGGCUGGGGAUGGACUCGCGGUCUAUCAGCUUGUUGGUGGGGUGAUGGCCUACCAAGGCGACGACGGAUAGCCGGCCUGAGAGGGUGACCGGCCACACUGGGACUGAGACACGGCCCAGACUCCUACGGGAGGCAGCAGUGGGGAAUAUUGCGCAAUGGGCGAAAGCCUGACGCAGCGACGCCGCGUGGGGGAUGAAGGCCUUCGGGUUGUAAACCUCUUUCACCACCGACGAAGCUAACGUGACGGUAGGUGGGGAAGAAGCGCCGGCUAACUACGUGCCAGCAGCCGCGGUAAUACGUAGGGCGCAAGCGUUGUCCGGAAUUAUUGGGCGUAAAGAGCUCGUAGGCGGUCUGUCACGUCUGCCGUGAAAACCCGAGGCUUAACCUCGUGGCUUGCGGUGGAUACGGGCAGACUAGAGGUAGGUAGGGGAGAAUGGAAUUCCC